UACGGGAGGCAGCAGUGGGGAAUAUUGGACAAUGGGCGAAAGCCUGAUCCAGCCAUGCCGCAUGAGUGAAGAAGGCCUUCGGGUUGUAAAGCUCUUUUAGUGAGAAAGAUAAUGACGGUACUCACAGAAGAAGUCCUGGCUAACUCCGUGCCAGCAGCCGCGGUAAUACGGAGAGGGCUAGCGUUAUUCGGAAUUAUUGGGCGUAAAGAGCGCGUAGGCUGAUUAGUAAGUUAAAAGUGAAAUCCCAAAGCUUAACUUUGGAAUUGCUUUUUAAAACUGCUAGUCUAGAGAUUGAAAGAGGAUAGAGGAAUUCCUAGUGUAGAGGUGAAAUUCGUAAAUAUUAGGAGGAACACCAGUGGCGAAGGCGUCUAUCUGGUUCAAAUCUGACGCUGAGGCGCGAAGGGCGUGGGGAGCGAAACAGGGAUUAGAUACC
rnacentral:rRNA from 1 species